rnacentral:lncRNA from 10 species
UGAGAUUGAGCCACUGCACUCCAGCCUGGGUGACAGUGUGACUCUAUCUCAAAAAGAAGAAAAAGGGAUGGAUGUGCUGCACAGAUCUGUGGUGAGAUCUCAGACAGGAGACACUGGUUAUCUCUGUGGAAGGAACAAGCUGGAGCCAGCUAAGGGGAUACUUUGCAUAUUGAACUCCCAUAUUGCAUGACAGGGACGUUUUAUGUCUUGUUGACCCUUGAACAGCAUGGAUUUGAACUGCAUGGUUUCACUUAUGUGUGGAUUUUCUUCAGCUGCUGCUGCCCCCGAGACAGUAAGACCGACUCCUCCUCUUUCUCCUCCUCUUCAUCCUACUCUAUGUGAAGACAAGAAUGAAGAUCUUUGUGACGAUCCACUUCCAGUGAAUGAUUACUAAGAGUAUCCACGUGACCUGGACCUGGGUGAGUGGGUCCUAGAAAAAUUUUUGCUUUCUUGCUACUCUUCCUUCUUCUCACUGGAAUGUAAAUGUAAAGGGUGGAGCUGCAGCAGCCAUCUUGCUAUCACAAAAGAAAGACUGAGAGAACAGCAGAAGAGUUGACCUUAAUGUUGUUGAACCACUGAAUCAACGCUGUAAACAAUCUAUCUCCAAAAUUCUUGGUAUGUGAGAAACUAAACUACUGUUUAUUUAAGUUGGGUUGUCUGUUAAGUGCAGCUGAAUGUCUUCCUAAUUGAUACAGAAAUGCAUUUAAAAAAUAGCAUGCACACUUUUUAGUAUGAGCUAAGAAAAUGAGUAAGAACACAGCACAUUGAACCCAAUUUUGCAUUUGCAAUCCCCAAAGAACCCUGGUACACUUUUGUAGAAUAUUAAUGUGAAACCUAAGUUUGGGGAAUGUCUCUGAUGAGAAGUUGGGAAACAGAAAUAGAUGAGACCUAUCUAUGGUGCAAAGAUAAAUUUUGGUUAGAAAGAAAAGAGCAAGAACAUGCACAAAAAUGUGUGGCAGAACCAGGCUGUGGGCAGGAACCAGAGGAGCUGUCUACUAUGGUUGUAUUUAAUAUGACUGCUGAGGACAAAGCUCUGAUUUUUUUAUCUGGCCCAAAUUCCUAUCUAAGGUGUCUGGAGAGUCAUGCCUUACAAACCAUACAUUCUCAUCAGAUGGGUUUUAUUUAACCCCAUAUAUUGUGACUUUCCAAUCUGACUCUGGCAUAAUAUUAUGUGACAAAAAAGAAAGUCAAAAUAUUUUACUCCAAAACAUCUUUCUUUGUCUUAUUUUGAAAUGGCCCUGCAAAUGUGUCCUUUGUGGGGGGAAAUUUAUACCUGUAAAGAAUCUCUAUUAACAUAGCUAUAUCUUUUUCUUCCUGGCCCUCCCAAUCCUAAAGAGAUUGAGUAAGAGUCUAGCACCUUUUAAAGGUCUGAAUAGGAAACAUUUGUCAUCUAUUCCCCCGAAGAACAGCCACUGUAAGACUUCAAAAGAACUGUGGUCUGCACAAUCUUUUAUCUUAACCUGAACAUUUCUUUUCUAUGGAACCCAGGUCUUUAGACAAACUCAACCAAUUGUCAACCAGAAAAUGUUUAAAUGUUUCUAUAGCCUGGAAGCCGCCUCCUCCCCACCACCAUCCCAUUCCACUUUGAGUUGUCUGGUUUUUCUAGACCAAACCAAUGUAUUUCUUAAAUGUAUUUGUUUGAUGUCUCAUGCCUCCCUAAAAUGUACAAAACCAAGCUGUGUCCAACCACCUUGGGCACAUGUCCUCAGGACCUUCUGAGGGCUGUGUCACCAGAUGUGGUCAUUCAUAUUUGGCUCAGAAUAAAUCUCUUCAAAUAUUU